rnacentral:rRNA from 1 species
UCCGUAGGCGGAUUAAUAAGUCAGAGGUGAAAUCCCGCAGCUUAACUGUGGGACUGCCUUUGAUACUGUUAGUCUUGAGUUAUAUGGAAGUAGAUAGAAUGUGUAGUGUAGCGGUGAAAUGCUUAGAGAUUACACAGAAUACCGAUUGCGAAGGCAGUCUACUACGUAUAUACUGACGCUAAUGGACGAAAGCGUGGGGAGCGAACAGGAUUAGAUACCCUGGUAGUCC